CCUACGGGGGGCUGCAGUGGGGGAUAUUGCACAAUGGGGGAAACCCUGAUGUAGCGACGCCGCGUGAGUGAAUAAGUAUUUCGGUAUGUAAAGCUCUAUCAGCCGGGAAGAAAAUGACAGUACCUGACCAAGCAGCCCCGGCUAACUACGUGCCAGCAGCCGCGGUAAGCCGUAGGGGGCAAGCGUUAAGCGGAUUUACUGGGGGUAAAGGGGGCGUAGACGGGUAUGUAAGUCUGGAGUGAAAGCCCGGGGGCCAAACCCGGGACUGCUUUGGAAACUGUGUAACUGGAGUACAGGAGGGGCAGGCGGAAUGCGUGGUGUAGCGGUGAAAUGCGUAGAUAUCAGGAGGAACACCGGCGGCGAAGGCGGCCUGCUGGACUGAAACUGACGUUGAGGCUCGAAAGUGUGGGGAGCAAACAGGAUUAGAUACCCCAGUAGUC
rnacentral:rRNA from 1 species